rnacentral:rRNA from 1 species
GACGAACGCUGGCGGCGUGCUUAACACAUGCCAGUCGAACGGAAAGGCCCUGCUUGCAGGGUACUCGAGUGGCGAACGGGUGAGUAACACGUGGGUGAUCUGCCCUGCACUUCGGGAUAAGCCUGGGAAACUGGGUCUAAUACCGGAUAUGACCUUCCAUGUAGUGUGGGGGGUGGAAAGAUUUAUCGGUGUGGGAUGAGCCCGCGGCCUAUCAGCUUGUUGGUGGGGUAAUGGCCUACCAAGGCGUCGACGGGUAGCCGGCCUGAGAGGGUGGACGGCCACAUUGGGACUGAGAUACGGCCCAGACUCCUACGGGAGGCAGCAGUGGGGAAUAUUGCACAAUGGGCGGAAGCCUUAUGCAGCGACGCCGCGUGGGGGAUGACGGCCUUCGGGUGGUAAACCUCUUUCGACAGGGACGAAGCUUCGGUGACGGUACCUGUAUAAGAAGCACCGGCUAACUACGU